UUUGGAUUCAUCACUGUCACCUACCAUGAAAGCAUACAAUCACCUUGUUUAGCCAUAAUUCCUUUAGUGUAGUCGGCAAUCCAUAACUCCAUUCCAACAACCUCACUGCACAUGGCCAACACAACUAUCACUUCACACGACAUAUCUCAAUUACCAACCACACCAUUAUCACCGGCUACCACUACAACUUCCUAAACCCCAUCACUUUCUUUCUUCCUUCCAAUACUACCCUUUUGAAACCCCUCCCUUCCACUGCAACAAACUUUCCCAACAUACCCCACAAGUUUCACACCCACCAUAAAAUCCUUCCUAUCGCACAAACCACCACCCAUUUUGUUUCUUCUUGGCUAACCCAAUCACCCUAACAUCUUCACAUUAACCACACAAAACAUCUUCCACAACAACCUCUUUGAUCUCCCUCUUUAUCAUGCCUCAUUAUUACAACUAUUGUUGUUUCGCCUCAUCGUCAUUGCAUCGUUGGAGAAUAAUUGAAAAUUGUAGAUACAACACAAACCAAAGGUGGUGCCCUACAUACAAGAUGUGACUUGGAGUUUAAGGUUCAAAGUUUAAAGUUUAGGCUUACAUACAAAUGUAAUGGCUUAUGUACAUGUGGUGGCACAAACUUGUUCUACGAUUAGCAAUCCUACCUACAAGAGUUAAUUUUCUGUGACUUCAGGGGGACCAGCAACAAUGCACUCUUCCAUGGGAUAUUCUUAUUACAUGUCAUUUGAUGAUGCUUAUAUCAUAUGGAUUUACUUUCUAAAAACUAAAUAUGAGCCACUUACAAUUUUUAAAGAGUAAUAGAGAGUUUUCUCUCAUUUGUAUUGGUCAAUUUGUUGCAUGUUGUAAGCUAAGUGGUUGUUGCCACAUCAGCAAAGUUUGUUAUUUUGUUAUGUGUUCUAUUACCUGAUUGGCUGGUGUCACAUCAGCAGUCUUUAACUCCUCAUGUACUCUUUUUAUAAACUAUAUAAACUGAUCUCUUCCUUUGUUGAUAUCAGAAAAUCAAUAACGCAGAACAAUAUUAGUACAAUCUCUUUCGAUUUCAUUCAGUUUCUUCAGAUUCUAUAGUAACCGAUAAACCACCAGGCCUUUGAACUCUUACCAGACACCA